rnacentral:rRNA from 1 species
UUCCGGUUGAUCCUGCCGGACCCUACUGCUAUCGGGGUGGGACUAAGACAUGCGAGUUGAGCGUCUCUAAGCUAUGGUAGAGACGCGGCGUACGGCUCAGUAACACGUGGCUAACCUACCCUUAGGACGGGGACAACCCCGGGAAACUGGGGCUAAUACCCGAUAGGCGAGGAGGCCUGGAAUGGUUCUUAGUCGAAAAGGCGUUGAAACCAUGCUUUUCGACGUCGCCUAAGGAUGGGGCCGCGCCCGAUCAGGUUGUUGGUGGGGUAACGGCUCACCAAGCCUAUAACCGGUACGGGCCGUGAGAGCGGGAGCCCGGAGAUGGGCACUGAGACAAGGGCCCAGGCCCUACGGGGCGCAGCAGUCGCGAAAACUCCGCAAUGCGCGAAAGCGUGACGGGGCUACCCCGAGUGCCGUCCGCUGAGGAUGGCUUUUCUCCGGUGUAAUGAGCCGGGGGAAUAAGGAGAGGGCAAGUCUGGUGUCAGCCGCCGCGGUAAUACCAGCUCUCCGAGUGGUAGGGAUGAUUAUUGGGCUUAAAGCGUCCGUAGCCGGCUUAGCAAGUCUCCUGUUAAAUUCAGCGACCUAAUCGUUGAGCCGCGGGAGAUACUACUAGGCUAGGAGGCGGGAGAGGCCGACGGUAUUCUCGGGGUAGGGGUGAAAUCCUAUAAUCCCGGGAGGACCACCAGUGGCGAAGGCUGUCGGCUAGAACGAGCUCGACGGUGAGGGACGAAAGCUGGGGGAGCGAACCGGAUUAGAUACCCGGGUAGUCCCAGCUGUAAACGAUGCGGGCUAGGUGUUAGGGUGGCUACGAGCCACUCUAGUGCCGCAGCGAAGGCAUUAAGCCCGCCGCCUGGGGAGUACGGCCGCAAGGCUGAAACUUAAAGGAAUUGGCGGGAGAGCACCACAAGGCGUGAAGCGUGCGGUUUAAUUGGAUUCAACGCCGGA